UACGUAGGGUGCAAGCGUUAAUCGGAAUACUGGGCGUAAAGCGUGCGCAGGCGGUUUUGUAAGUCUGACGUGAAAUCCCCAGGCUCAACUUGGGAACUGCAUCCGAUACUGGAUGGCUUGAAUUCGGGAGAGGGAUGCAGAAUUCCAGGUGUAGCGGUGAAAUGCGUAGAUAUCGGAAGGAACACCAGUGGCGAAAGCGGCUUCCUGGUCCAGCACCGACGUCAGGCACGAAAGCGUGGGGAGCAAACAGG
rnacentral:rRNA from 1 species